GUACUAGGGAUGGAGGAGUGACCAGGCAGGUACUAGGGAUGGAGGAGUGACCAGGCAGGUACUAGGGAUGGAGGAGUGACCAGGCAGGUACUAGAGAUGGAGGAGUGACCAGGCAGGUACUAGGGAUGGAGGAGUAACCAGGGAGGUACUACAGUAGGGAUGGAGGAGUGACCAGGGAGGUACCACAGUAGGGAUGGAGGAGUGACCAGGGAGGUACUACAGUAGGGAUGGAGGAGUGACCAUGGAGGUACCACAGUAGGGAUGGAGGAGUGACCAGACAGGUACUAGAGAUGGAGGAGUGACCAGGCAGGUCUGGGCAGAGGAGAUAUAGUCGUUGUUUGUCUGCGUCUGUCAGUUAUUGGUAUGUGUAUGUUGGAAUUUGGUUUGAAAGAAGAAAAAAAAAGAGAAAAAAAAAAUGUUAUUUUGUGUGCUGCAAUAAAUGAUGAAUAAAAUAAAUGCUUAUGUGUCGAUAGGUAUAGUACUGUACGUCAUUAUUCAGUUCAAGCACACAAAGUCUGGGAUUCAAUCAAAGGUGUGUUGUCGACAAACUCACCUGUCAGUUCAGUAGUCAAACCCACCUGUUAGUUCAGUAGUCAAACCCACCUGUCAGUUCAGUAGUCAAACCCACCUCAGUCAGUUCAGUAGACAAACCCACCUGUCAGUUCAGUAGUCAAACCCACCUGUUAGUUCAGUAGACAAACCCACCUGUCAGUUCAGUAGUCAAACCCACCUCAGUCAGUUCAGUAGUCAAACCAACCUGUCAGUUCAGUAGUCAAACCCACCUCAGUCAGUUCAG
ensembl:lncRNA